rnacentral:piRNA from 1 species
UUCAUGGGCUGCCUUAUGUAGCGG